rnacentral:rRNA from 1 species
CCUACGGGAGGCUGCAGUGGGGAAUAUUGGACAAUGGGGGGAACCCUGAUCCAGCCAUGCCGCGUGUGUGAAGAAGGCCCUCGGGUUGUAAAGCACUUUCAGUGAGGAAGAACGCCUGGUGGUUAAUACCCAUCAGGAAAGACAUCACUCACAGAAGAAGCACCGGCUAACUCCGUCCCAGCAGCCGCGGUAAUACGGAGGGUGCGAGCGUUAAUCGGAAUUACUGGGCGUAAAGCGCGCGUAGGUGGCUUGAUAAGCCGGUUGUGAAAGCCCCGGGCUCAACCUGGGAACGGCAUCCGGAACUGUCAAGCUAGAGUGCAGGAGAGGAAGGUAGAAUUCCCGGUGUAGCGGUGAAAUGCGUAGAGAUCGGGAGGAAUACCAGUGGCGAAGGCGGCCUUCUGGACUGACACUGACACUGAGGUGCGAAAGCGUGGGUAGCAAACAGGAUUAGAUACCCGGGUAGUC